GGGUAUGGGUGUUGAACCAGAUGAUGUUACUUACAUAAAUAUGCUCGCGGCUUAUGUUAAAUCAGGGGAUGUUGAAAAUGGCCGCUUGAUAUUUGAGAGCAUGGCUUGCCCUAGCUUGAUUUCAUGGAAUGCUAUUCUUUCAGGCUAUUCACAGAAUGAGGAGCAUCUCAAGGCACUAAAGCUUUUCAGAGAAAUGCAAUUUCAAAAUCUGCGACCUGAUCGGAC
rnacentral:misc_RNA from 1 species